ACUUUGCAAUGUGCGAAAGCACGACAAGGUUAAUCCGAGUGAUUUCUGCUAAAGAAAUCUUUUGCAAGUCAUAAAACCACUAGUGAAUAAGGGGUGGGCAAGUUCUGGUGUCAGCCGCCGCGGUAAAACCAGCACCUCAAGUGGUCAGGAGGAUUAUUGGGCCUAAAGCAUCCGUAGCCGGCUCUGUUAGUUUUCGGUUAAAUCUAUGUGCUCAACGCAUGGGCUGCCGAAAAUACUGCAGAGCUAGGGAGUGGGAGAGGUAGACGGUACUCGGUAGGAAGGGGUAAAAUCCUUUGAUCUAUCGAUGACCACCUGUGGCGAAGGCGGUCUACCAGAACACGUUCGACGGUGAGGGAUGAAAGCUGGGGGAGCAAACCGGAUUAGAUACCCGGGUAGUCCCAGCUGUAAACGAUGCAGACUCGAUGAUGCAUUGGCAUAUAGCCAGUGCAGUGUCGCAGGGAAGCCGUUAAGUCUGCCGCCUGGGAAGUACGUACGCAAGUAUGAAACUUAAAGGAAUUGGCGGGGGAGCACCACAAGGGGUGAAGCCUGCGGUUCAAUUGGAGUCAACGCCAGAAAUCUUACCCGGAGAGACAGCAGAAUGAAGGUCAAGCUGAAGACUUUACCAGACAAGCUGAGAGGUGGUGCAUGGCCGUCGCCAGCUCGUGCCGUGAGAUGUCCUGUUAAGUCAGGUAACGAGCGAGAUCCCUGCCACUAGUUGCUAUCAUUAUUCUCAGGAAUAGUGGAGCGAAUUAGUGGGACUGCCGUUGUUAAAACGGAGGAAGGAAGGGGCUACGGCAGGUCAGUGUGCCCCGAAACUCUGGGGCCACACGCGGGCUGCAAUGGUAGUGACAAUGAGUUCCAAACUCGAAAGAGAGUGGCAAUCUCUAAACGCUACCACAGUUAUGACUGAGGGCUGUAACUCGCCCUCACGAAUAUGGAAUCCCUAGUAACCGCGUGUCAUUACCGCGCGGUGAAUACGUCCCUGCUCCUUGCACACACCGCCCGUCGUUUCAUCGAAGUUUGCUUUUAGCGAGGUGAUGUUUAAUUGGCAUUAUCGAACUUGAGGUAAGCGACGAGGGAAAAGUCGUAACAAGGUGUCCGUAGGGGAACCUGCGGACG
rnacentral:rRNA from 1 species